ACCUGAAAUACCAAAAUUACAUGAUCGCAUCAAAUAUUUCAGAAAAUGUUUAGAAUUUCAAAAAUGAACCCAAAAAUACAUAUACUGGUGAACAACAUUAUAAGCUCAAAAAAAAAUCCCUUUUCCAUGUAUUUAUAACAAUAAGAAACACAAACAAAAUGCCAUAUAUCAAGCAAACAGUCAUAGCUAAAGUUCAACAAGAGCGAGGAUUAAAUUCAAAAGACAACACCUUUCUUUUGUUUUUGGCUUUAAUACAAGGGAAACACAAUUGGGUCUCAGUUCUUACACUUAACCAUUAAAAUUGCAUAUGAAGUCAAGACCUUUGGCUUUGGAUUUGUAAAUCCAAUGCAAUCUCGUCUCUAGAAACCCACACUGAGAAACAAUUAAAGUCCAUCCAUUGUACAUGAUGACUGGCCAAAUUUAACUCUUAUGCAUGUGGACAAUUGUCUAAAUUAAACUCCUAGCUACUUGUUACUAUGUUUUUGGCUAUGGAUUCUCAGGGUGAGUCUCGGAAGGACACUACUUCUGGUUCAUCAAAGAAAAUGCAAAAAACAGAUGGGAUUUUCUGGUAUACCAAGCAGACAGCAAAAAUUCAAUCCAGGUUUCACGUAAUUACUUGAAUACAAUAAAUUAUGUAUUGAAAUCUAUACAUCAGCAUUGAUGCUUGAGUUCUUAUUCUUUACAUACUGAAUUUUACCUGAACAUGAAGACUUCUGCAACAGGAACAGAAUUAAGGUUAGGUAUUGUGAUGGAUCAUCAUUCACGGGCAAUGUGGAGGACUUGUGACAUGGUUUUUAACCCUGGAUUGGGAAGGUUUAAUCCAAUCAGUCCUGGUUAUAUAUAAUCUUUUAAUAAUUCAUCUAGGGAUCAGCAAAGAAAACUUUCCAACGCCAAUAUCUAAAUCUUUUUCUUUUUCUUUUUCUUUUCCUCAGCUGGUCUGAUCGUGUAAGGAAAGAGGCAUAAAAGGUGAGG